rnacentral:rRNA from 1 species
AACGAACGCUGGCGGCAUGCCUAACACAUGCAAGUCGAACGAGACCUUCGGGUCUAGUGGCGCACGGGUGCGUAACGCGUGGGAACGUGCCCUUAGGUUCGGAAUAACUCCCCGACAGGGGUGCUAAUACCGGAUAAUGUCUUCGGAUCAAAGAUUUAUCGUCUUUGGAUGGGCCCGCGUUGGAUUAGCUAGUUGGUAGGGUAAAAGCCUACCAAGGCGUCGAUCCAUAGCUGGUCUGAGAGGAAGAUCAGCCACACUUGGACUGAGACACGGCCCAGACUCCUACAGGAUGCAGCAGUGGGUGAUAUUGGAAAAUGGGCGGAAUCCAGAUCCAGCACUGCCGGGUGAGUGAUGAAGGCCUUAGGGUAGUAAAGCUCUUUUACCCGGGAUUGUUAUGACGGUACCGAGAGAAUAAGCACCGGCUAACUCCGUG